rnacentral:rRNA from 1 species
GACGUAGGGGGCGAGCGUUGUCCGGAUUUACUGGGCGUAAAACGCUUGUAGGCGGCCACGCCAAGUCGGAUGUGAAAUCUCCCGGCUUAACUGGGAGGGUGCGGCGGAAACUGGAAUGCUAGAGGGUGGGAGAGGUAAGCGGAAUUCCUGGUGUAGCGGUGAAAUGCGUAGAUAUCAGGAGGAACACCUGUGGUGUAGACAGCUUACUGGACCACUUCUGACGCUGAGACACGAAAGCGUGGGUAGCAAACAGG